GACGAAGGUGGCGAGCGUUGUUCGGAAUCACUGGGCAUAAAGCGCACGUAGGCGGCGACGUAAGUCGGAUGUGAAAUCCCUCGGCCCAACCGAGGAACUGCGUCCGAUACUGCGUUGCUUGAGGAUCACAGGGGUGUAUGGAAUUCCCGGUGGAGCGGUGAAAUGCGUUGAUAUCGGGAGGAACGCCGGCGGCGAAAGCGGUACACUGGGUGAUUUCUGACGCUGAUGUGCGAAAGCCAGGGGAGCAAACGGG
rnacentral:rRNA from 1 species